GACAUGCUUGCAUGAAAAAUCAUGACUUUGGAAUCCGUAAAAACAUGAGAGAGCAGCCCGAUCGGGCAGAUUUCGAAUGUUUUUAGGAUUGCGGGAGCAUGAAAUGCGGAGCAAUCCGCAGCAU
rnacentral:sRNA from 1 species